CGUCGUCAUAUAGAUAUAAUAUAUUUCACUCUCACCACAUAAAUACAAAACAUCCAAAUAUCCAAAACAUUCAGAACAAAAGUUAGUAGCAAGGGCUCAGCGCUCGGUUCGUUCCGUAUUUCCCGACUAGUUGCCUAGAGACUCCCGACGUCAAUAAUUUACAAUAAAAUUACUAUUUUCUUUCUGUCCAGCUCCUUCUGUCCACUUCUGGUCUAUUAUUAAUUCUAUGCACUACAGAAACCGUUCCACUCGUUGUCAGUCUGUUUGUUUUUUUUUUGGUUACAGUUUGGUGGCACGCAUUUAUACAGUUUGUAAACGCCAUGUGUUAAAGUUUAGAGAAAGAAACUUCAAACCGAAGCAAAGAAAUAUUAUUAUUAUUAUUAUUAUUAUUAUUUCCCGAAGAAGGAAGUAAAUACAGAAUCCCUUUUCUGGCAAAUUCAAGUACUGAAAUCGAACGGGAGAUCGAUGCGGGACGUGGCCGGUGGGUACACGCGGUGGUGGAGAAAACAGCAGCGGGAAGCGGUGGGGAUAAGGCCGUUACAGAGAUGGGUCUUAAGGUACAAAAAUAACAACGAAAGAUGCGCUUUGUAUAUUUUACGUUCGUUUUAAUUGGAGUGUGAGCGAUAUCCGAGAGGGUUAUUUAGGAGGAAGAAGGCUGACGGCUUUGUGAUGCGCACUGAAAUUGCGUGAGAAAAGAAAAAAAAAUCAAAUCAAACGGAAGGAAAAAAAAACGGAUCUGGGUGCAAAUCGAGUCACGAUUCCGUUCUCUCUCUGCGGACUCGUUUAGCAGAGCGGGGCGGAAGGCAAAAAGGGCGUUGCUGCAACCCGGGGGCUGAGCGUGGCUCGGGCACGGCGCGGUGCUGCGUCCCGCCGGGCUCGGAGCGCUCCGUCCGCAGCGGGGAUCGGCCGUGGAGCAGAACGGCCGCCGGGAAGGGCCCGGCUGCGGCCAGGGCCGGGCAGCGGGGCCGUGAGGGGGUGUGUAAAGCCAAACCUUUGUGCUUAAGUCACUGGAGUCCGGGGAGGGGGGGAG
rnacentral:lncRNA from 1 species